AAAGCAGGGCCCCAGCAAAGCCAUGCUUUGCUGCUGAUUUAGAAUCUGUAAGCUAAAAUGUGAUAUAACUGUGUCCUUUGUCUUCCUGGCUAAUGACCAGUCAUGGAAUACCAAUAAGAGUUCCUACUUUUAGCCUCUUGAGCCUGGCCCCCUCUUGCUGGUGAGCUCUCCAAUCAACAUCCCUCUGAUACCUCUUUAAGCAUCAAGCAGCUGUUUAAUGCAAGGUUCUCGUCUGUUCUUUUCCCUUUUUCUUUAUCUUGGUCAGUGGAUUAGCCAAGAUUGAUUUUUCUGCAUGGCUGGGGAAGGCCUAAGGUUAAAAGAUAAAAGAUGUCUCUGUGGGAUUUUGGAGACGGAAGAAAAGGAAGCAGGGGCUGAGUUUGUGCGCGCUGGUGUCUAUUGCCUUUGGGUGGGUGACGUAGUGUGACCAAUGCCCACGAGGUGGCGACAAACGACCUCCUGGCCGGAGGACUGGAUGGAUGCAAAGAGCCUCUGCCCAUCCUCCAGGGCUUCCCUGUGAUGUGUGUGAGGAGCAUUCCAGAAGCCCGGGUGCGGGACUGGCCAGUGUUUUCUGCCUUCCACGUCCGCAUCCUGCCUGCUGCCCACCCCCUCUGUAGCCCACCAAACCCCUCGGAUGCCUCAUCUACAUUCUGAUCCCAUUUUUGUCUAAUUUAAAAUUUAAUUACUCAAGUGAUACCAUCUCCAUAGCCUUUAAAGACAAAAUUUCAUAGACAACACUUAGGCCCCCUUAGACGACUCUCCCUUGUCCAGAGGCAGCAUGGUGCAGUGGUUGAGGUGUGUAUUUCCAGAUGUUUUUCGAUGUUUUUAUACACAUAUAUGUGCCCGUAGAGAAUACAUGGCAUUUUCGCUGCAUGUGGCCAUUUUUCACAUAAAUGGCAUCUUACAUUUAUUUAUAUUUUGUAAAAUUCCUGGAGAUCUAUCCCUGUGAGCCCACCUGGAUGAGCCUCACUCUGGUUAAUGGUGGCUACUUUUCUGUAGUAUGAAUCCAUCACUGUUUAUUUGACUGCUGCCCUUUGCACAGGCGCUAGAUUGUUCCAGGGUUGAGGUUUACAAACGCUGUUUACUGAACAACUGGAGGGCACGUCCUUAUGCACGUGCGUGAAUUGCUUCCACUGGUGGCAUUUUCUUGUCAGAAUCACGCAGUAAGAUUACGAUGGGAGCUGUGGUCCCUCCAGAGAUUCUCAAGCACCAGCCCCUGAGAGGCAUUUGCACAACAAACUUGGAGCUCCGUAGUCUCAUUCCCAUUUUAGGGGUGAGAAAACUGAGGUUUAAAGAGGCGCAGUGGGUCAGCCUUGAAAUCCCAUCCCACUUAAUGUUCUUCCUCCUACCAGUCCCUUGUGCCGAGUCCUUUCCUUCCAGCUCUGCUGUGAAUUUCGUGAC